GAUGAACGCUGGCGGCGUGCUUAACACACGCAAGUCGAGCGAGAGAGUUCUUCGGAACAAUCUAGCGGCGGACGGGUGAGUAACACGUGGGCAACCUGCCUCAUAGAGGGGAAUAGCCUUCCGGAAGGAAGAUUAAUACCGCAUAACAUCGUUGAAGGGCAUCCUUCGAUGAUCAAAGGAGCAAUCCGCUAUGAGAUGGGCCCGCGGCGCAUUAGCUAGUUGGUGAGGUAACGGCUCACCAAGGCGACGAUGCGUAGCCGACCUGAGAGGGUGAUCGGCCACAUUGGGACUGAGACACGGCCCAGACUCCUACGGGAGGCAGCAGUGGGGAAUAUUGCACAAUGGGGGAAACCCUGAUGCAGCAACGCCGCGUGAGUGAUGACGGCCUUCGGGUUGUAAAGCUCUGUCUUUGGGGACGAUAAUGACGGUACCCAAGGAGGAAGUCACGGCUAACUACGUGCCAGCCGCCGCUUAA
rnacentral:rRNA from 1 species